CAGCCGUAAACUAUGCGCGUUAGGUGUACUGGUGACCACGAGUCACCGGGGUGCCGAAGGGAAACCGUGAAACGUGCCGCCUGGGAAGUACGGUCGCAAGGCUGAAACUUAAAGGAAUUGGCGGGGAGCACCACGAACGGGUGGAGCCUGCGGUUUAAUUGGACUCAACGCCGGAAAUCUCACCGGAUAGGACAGACAUAUGAUAGUCGGGCUGAAGACUCUACUUGAUGAUCUGAGAGGUGGUGCAUGGGCGUCAGUGACU
rnacentral:rRNA from 1 species